rnacentral:snRNA from 1 species
CGGCUGGAAGAGCACCGCAC